rnacentral:rRNA from 1 species
AUUGAACGCUGGCGGCAGGCCUAACACAUGCAAGUCGAGCGGAUGAAGGGAGCUUGCUCCUGGAUUCAGCGGCGGACGGGUGAGUAAUGCCUAGGAAUCUGCCUGGUAGUGGGGGAUAACGUCCGGAAACGGGCGCUAAUACCGCAUACGUCCUGAGGGAGAAAGUGGGGGAUCUUCGGACCUCACGCUAUCAGAUGAGCCUAGGUCGGAUUAGCUAGUUGGUGGGGUAAAGGCCUACCAAGGCGACGAUCCGUAACUGGUCUGAGAGGAUGAUCAGUCACACUGGAACUGAGAAACGGUACAGACUCCUACGGGAGGCAGCAGUGGGGAAUAUUGGACAAUGGGCGAAAGCCUGAUCCAGCCAUGCCGCGUGUGUGAAGAAGGUCUUCGGAUUGUAAAGCACUUUAAGUUGGGAGGAAGGGCAGUAAGUUAAUACCUUGCUGUUUUGACGUUACCAACAGAAUAAGCACCGGCUAACUUCGUG